UCCUACGCUCUGAAUAGGUCUUUGGCCCACU
rnacentral:piRNA from 2 species